CAGAGCAUAUGGGGGAAGGGUCUGCCCCUGGCAAGGCCCCACAAAGUCCUGCUCAGUUAGAGUUAGGAGUACAAGAGGUUUAGUGAGGGGGUGAUGUCUGUGAGAAAUAAAAGGGAGAAGAAGCAGGCUUGGGCUGGGAAAGCCCCAGACUGCUAAAGAGAUUUGACCUUAACGGUUAACCCAGUUGGAAGUUCUAAAGUAACUGCUACCCUCAGAGCAGUCCCAUCUUAGCAGAAAUGACUAUGUCCCCAUCUCCGUGCCCUGCUGAGUCACUGGCUGGGAGUCUCUAGGAAUGAGCCUGGUCAAGAUGCAAAAGCCUAGGUGAAGCCUGGGGGUGCCAACAGUGGUAAGGCGUCAGCUCAGCACAAUCCUUGUAGCUGUUGGAUUCACCAGAUUUCUUCUGUACAUGGGGACAGCUCCUAUGGUGGAAAAUGGCAAUUUACGUGGAAUAAGGCUUCUACCUGACCUUACCUGUGUGUCCUCUGCAAGCUUAUCCAGAACACAGAAGACUGAACAUGUCCGGAAGGAGAUUUUCCAGGAAGAAAAUUCUUAGUGAAAAUUGAAGUUUCGAUAUGUAUCUAUACUUGAAAAUUGAAUAUGCAAAUUGAGUAAUUUCAUGCUUAUUUUAAAUUUAAAAAACAUUUUUGCUGCGAUUAUUUCAGUGUUUUAGUUGAAGGGCCUCUAUGAAGGAUUCCUUUAUAGCUCAGUCAGUACUGAAUCUGCUUGCAAUGCAGGAAGCCGGAGUUCGAUUCCUGGGUGGGAAAGAUCCCCUGGAGAAGGAAAUGGCAACCCACUCCAGUAUUCUUGCCUGGAGAAUUCCAUGGACGGAGGAGCCUGGCAGGCUACAGUCCACGGGGUCACACGAUUUAGCAACUAAACCACCGCCAUGACCUGUAUGUGCACAGAAACAUAGUCUCUACUGACUAAGAGAGGAAUUUGAAAUGAAGAAAAAAAUUACCUAUAAGAUAUAGUUUUUACUUAACGGUCAUAAAUAAGAGAAUGUCACAUUUUCAAAGAAGUAAUAGCUUGUAUUUGUUAUUUUAUUCAUUUGUUUCAGUUUAAGGUCAUAUUACAAAUAAUACCUAUGUGUGCAUAUAAAAAAGUCCUCCUACCUGUGUGUUCUGCUUUCCCUUAUUUAGUUUGACAUUGUAAAGAUUUUUACUAUUAGCAGUUUGAUGUCUAUUCCUCAAUAAAUUUUCCUAACA